rnacentral:misc_RNA from 1 species
AUCUCAAUUUGUUACAUGAAUGUUAUAAAGAAUUUCCGAUUUUUUUAUCCAAUAACAGGGCAGCUGGAACAGAAACGCAGUGAAGAAUAUCUUGAAGAGAGGGAGAUUUUUCGUCGAUCUAGUUCCACAAACGAAGAUGAAGGUUUGGAUUACCUGAACUCGAAUCCUGAAGAUAUAAUCCACGUUCAGAAGGAUGCAUUCCUUGGUGGCAACAUCUGCACCAAAGUCAUCUUCUUCUGCCUGCUGGGUGCACUCGGAGUCAUGGUCAGCUUCAUCAUAUUCGAAUACAGAGGAUCAAACGAUUUGGAAACACAGUCUGCAGUGGACUCACCCUGGUCUCAAAUGCUGGAAGGAUGGGUCGAUUCAAACAUAGAUGAGCAUCAUGACGAUCAUCCUGAAGAAGACGACGAGGUAGAUGUUUCUGGAGAAGAGGACGAACACGAAGAAGAAGAAGAUGAAGAAGAUGACCUUGAUGAAGCCAGUGGUGAGCAAGAGGAUGAUGGAUAUGAAAGUGGGGAAGAAGUAGAGGAUGAUGAUGAUGAUGAUGAAGAGGAAGAAGAAGAAGAGGAUGAUGAUGAAGAGGAGGAGGAAGAUGAUGAUGAUGAAGAAGAGGAGGAGGAGGAUGAGGAGGAGGAAGAAGAAGAAGAGGAGGAGGAUGAGGAGGAAGAAGAAGAAGAAGAAGAAGAUGAGGAGGAGGAGGAAGAAGAAGAGGAAGAGGAUGAGGAGGAAGAAGAAGAAGAAGAUGAGGAGGAGGAGGAAGAAGAAGAAGAUGAGGAGGAGGAAGAAGAAGAAAGAGAAGAGGAGGAGGAAGAGGACGACGAAGAGGAGGAAGAGGACGACGAAGAGGAAGAGGAGGAGGAAGACGACGACGAAAAAGAAGAGGAGGAGGAGGAUGAAGACGAAGAUCAAGAGGAUGAUGAUGAUGAAGAAGAGGAGGAAGAAGAUGAAAAAGAAAAGGAUGAAAGUGGAGAGGUGGAGGAGGAUGAUGAUGAUGAUGACAAGGACGAUGACAAUGAUAAAGAAGAUGAAGACGAUGAUGAAGAAGAAAAAGGUGAUGAUGAAGAUGACGACAAUGACAAUGAUAAUGAUAAAUUGGACUAUAAGAGUGAAGAAUCGGAGGAUGAUGGUUAUGAAACAAAAGAUGAUGAUGAUGGCGACGAUGAUAAUGAUGAUGAGGAGGAGAAAAAACCGAUCAAAAAAAGACCAACGAUCGUUUGGAGUCUGAAAAAGAAACCAAAAUCUGUGUUGGCUGCAAGGGGCAAAGCUGAUCACAAUGCUCCUGAUGAUGAUGAUAAUGAUGAGGAUGACAAUGAUGAUCGACAUGGUCAUGAUGUUGGAAGUAAGAAAGGCCAUGAUGAUGAUGAUGAUGAUGAUGAUGACGAUGAUGGCGAUGAAGGAAAAGUAAAAGCCUCAAUUAAAGAAGAAAAAAAGUCAAAGAAGAAGUCCAAAAGUAAAAAGAAAGAUAAGGAUAGCAAGGACGAUGAAGUAUUAGAAAAGUUGGAAGAAACGCCAGAAGUAGAACAGGAAGAAGGCGGAGAAGAAGAAACAUCUGGUGUUGCAUUGAAAUUUGGAGUGGGUGUAGCCCUAGUGGUAGUCGCUCAUGUCGUUCUUGUUAGGAAAUGGAACAGUAUUGGUGCUGGAGAAUCGAAAAUAGAAAAAGAGAUUGUUGCGUCGAAGCAAUCAAUAGAAGCCAUCCCUAAACCUGAGACGCCAGACCUUUUGUCUCGGCGAAAGACUCUGGUUCCUCCCUCUUUUACAGAAGACUUUCAUCCUUCGCGAUCACCAUCCCCUCCUCUAGAUGAAUACUCAGAAGAUGAACACGAAGAAGAAGAAGAGGAAGAGGGAGAAGAAGGAGCUGUGGAAAGCGAGCAAGUGAAACAAACACUGGAUGAUUUGAAGGCUGCUUAUGCGGACAUAACUCCUGAACCAAGUGACAUCGAGGAGGAUUAUGAAAGAGAUACGGCAACCAAAGCAUACGACUACAAUUCAACCCCACCAGAGAGUGAGCCGGAACUAAGUGAGCCUGAAGAAGAAGAGGAGGAGGAUGAGGAAGAAGAAGAAGAUGAUGAACCACGCAGUGAAUGGCAAAGCAGUCAGGCUGCUCAUCUGCUGGCUGAAGAGGUGGAGGAUCUGCAGACCGAAUCAGAAACCGAAGAGGAGGAGUCCGACGAUGAGCCUCCCCCUCCCCCUCCAGUGGCGCGUCGCAGAGGUCAAGAAAUCGACGAAAACGAACAGAUCUUCCAAGACCUAGUCUAUGAAACAUUUGAGAAGGUUGAACAGCCACUGGAACAGUACUCUGCCAAAGUAGAACAACCUCAAACGUCUGUCAACGAGGAUAGUGAGAUUUCUGAUGGAUUGGAUGAGAAUGAUGGACAAGAUCCGUGGGAGCCGCUGACUUCAGCUGAAACGUUCAACGAUGCGGCCACUGCAAAUGAUAACAUGAAUGAAGAAGUGGAGCAGCCAGCUGAGGCAGAAGCAGAAGCCGACCAAGAAGUAGUCAAGGAUUAUUUCAAUGGUGACAUAACUAAUGACUAUGAUUGGGAAAUCCACGAUGACUUGGAUGCUGCCGAUGCUGAACUCAAUCAAGGACAUGCGGAGCGAGCCCUGUCCACGUUCACCUCCCUGCUGGCCCAAGCCCCCCUCUCGCCCCGUGCUCGCCUCGGCAAGGCGCAGGCUCUCGACCGAAUGGCCGAACAGCAAAGGAGCAACGCCCUUCUUGUCAAAGCCAUUGCCGCCUACAGCCAUGCCAUACAAGCGCCAAACAUUCCCGACAAACUGCUCGUCAUUGUUGCCAAUCGCACCAUUGACCGCAUGAGGUUCAAAGGAAUGCAUUUGGACGCAGUUAAAGUGCACAAUGAACUGAUAACACGUUUUCCUGAUUCGCCACUCUACAGAAAUCAGUUGGCAGUCACCUACUUGAUGAUAAACAGGUUGUCAGAGGCUAAAGCGGUGUUGCAAGCGACAUUGGAGCGAUGGCCGGCGGAAGGAUGGGCGAAUGCGUUGUACGGCUUGCUUCUCAAGCUGCAAGGCUUCAAUGCGGAGGCCAUUCCCCACCUGCGGGUGGGACUCAGCACAAAUGCUUCUGGCACGCAAGAGAGCAACUUCUAUUUCCACCUGGGAGAUGCUCUCACCCGUGUCGACAAGUGUAUGAGGAUGCAACCGCAAAAGGGCUCUUGAGAUCCAAGUACCAGCGUUCAUUGUACAACGUCGAUCGAUUGAAAGCCCGGCCUUGGUGGACUCUCGAGGAAACAACGUAUCAAAAUUUCUUCAGGAAAUUGGAAAAGAAUUGGAAAACAAUCAGAGAUGAAGGCCUAGCAGCGCUAAAAUACAAGAAAGGAUACCUCGAUGAAGCUGAGAGUCUGCGGCGAACCGGCGAUUGGAAGCAAUUCGAAUUAUUUGCCAGAGGUCGAAAGUCGGCGAAGAACUGUGAGCGGACGCCAGUGACGUGUGGGCUGAUUGGGGGGUUCGAGGCGGCGUCAGGCUGUCGCCGCGGCCAGACCAAGUUCAGUGUGAUGGAGCCUGGCACACACGUGUGGGCACACUGCGGCCCCACCAACGCUCGGCUGCGUGCGCAUAUGGGCCUCGUCGUGCCACCCAAUGUCUUCAUCAGAGUCGCCGACCAAGUCAGAACUUGGGAGGAAGGGAAGUUCAUAAUAUUCGAUGACAGCUUCGAGCAUGAAGUUUGGCACAACGGAACAGAACAACGUCUAGUCUUGAUCGUCGACAUUUGGCAUCCAGAAUUGACAUCCGAAGAAAGACGAACACUCUCUGCAAUCUGAUCAAUUCCGGUUAAUGAGCAUUAACCUCGCCUUUAUAAACUACCAAAUAAUCUAUUUAUAAUGAUUCAAUCACUGUAAAACGUAAAAUUUGUCAAAUUUCAUAGUCAUUGGUACUUAUUAAAGUAAUGUAAAGCUUGAAACUAUAUUUGUAAUGAAAUUUGUUCAGUUUUGUUA